rnacentral:tRNA from 1 species
AGGGAUUUAGCUCAGUGGCAUAAGCACUUGCCUUGCAAGCAGGUGGUGGUGAUUUCAAUCCCUG